rnacentral:rRNA from 1 species
AAUCUUGCGCAACGGAGGGAACUCUGACGCAGCGACGUCGCGUGAGCGAAGAAGGUCUUCGGAUCGUAAAGCUCUGUCUUUGGGGACGAAGGAAGUGACGGUACCCAAGGAGGCAGCCCCGGCUAACUACGUGCCAGCAGCCGCGGUAAUACGUAGGGGGCGAGCGUUAUCCGGAAUUAUUGGGCGUAAAGGGUGCGUAGGCGGCCUUUUAAGUCAGAUGUGAAAGGCUACGGCUUAACCGUAGUUAGCAUUUGAAACUAAAAGGCUUGAGUGCAGGAGAGGAGAGUGGAAUUCCUAGUGUAGCGGUGAAAUGCGUAGAUAUUAGGAGGAACACCAGUGGCGAAGGCGACUCUCUGGACUGCAACUGACGCUGAGGCACGAAAGCGUGGGGAGCGAACA